UAAAGGAAGAGAAGGACACAGAAACAAAAGCAAGAUGAUUCAAAAUGGGCACCCCAAAACAAACACAGAAGUCCCAGUGUGACCAACGAUGCUCAGGAGAGAUGCUAAUUAGAUCUUGGACUCCCCUUGAUCCAGAUGGACUGCUGUACACAAUGUGCGAGACCGUGUGUGUGUGUGCUGACACCGGGAAAGAGUCAGAGAAGGCGUUCUCGAUCACCCUGUGCAGAAAGGUACUAAACAAAACCAGAGCCAUGAG
rnacentral:lncRNA from 1 species